GACGAACGCUGGCGGCGUGCUUAACACAUGCAAGUCGAACGGAAAGGCCCUGCUUUUGUGGGGUGCUCGAGUGGCGAACGGGUGAGUAACACGUGAGUAACCUGCCCAUGACUUUGGGAUAACUUCAGGAAACUGGGGCUAAUACCGGAUAGGAGCUCCUGCUGCAUGGUGGGGGUUGGAAAGUUUCUGCGGUUGGGGUUGGACUCGCGGCUUAUCAGCUUGUUGGUGGGGUAGUGGCCUACCAAGGCUUUGACGGGUAGCCGGCCUGAGAGGGUGACCGGCCACAUUGGGACUGAGAUACGGCCCAGACUCCUACGGGAGGCAGCAGUGGGGAAUAUUGCACAAUGGGCGGAAGCCUGAUGCAGCAACGCCGCGUGCGGGAUGACGGCCUUCGGGUUGUAAACCGCUUUCGCCUGUGACGAAGCGUGAGUGACGGUAAUGGGUAAAGAAGCACCGGCUAACUACGUG
rnacentral:rRNA from 1 species